GAAUAUUUGCCACCGGGCAAUGUGAUGCAUUUACGCAUCCGUUACACAUCGUUAGGUCUUAGAAGAUGUGGAAGCGGGUGCUUAUUUUUU
rnacentral:ncRNA from 1 species